GACGAACGCUGGCGGCGUGCUUAACACAUGCAAGUCGAACGGAAAGGCCCUGCUUGCAGGGUACUCGAGUGGCGAACGGGUGAGUAACACGUGGGUGAUCUGCCCUGCACUUCGGGAUAAGCCUGGGAAACUGGGUCUAAUACCGGAUAGGAGCCAUUUUUAGUGUGAUGGUUGGAAAGUUUUUUCGGUGUAGGAUGAGCUCGCGGCCUAUCAGCUUGUUGGUGGGGUAAUGGCCUACCAAGGCGGCGACGGGUAGCCGGCCUGAGAGGGUGGACGGCCACAGUGGGACUGAGAUACGGCCCAGACUCCUACGGGAGGCAGCAGUGGGGAAUAUUGCACAAUGGGCGCAAGCCUGAUGCAGCGACGCCGCGUGGGGGAUGACGGCCUUCGGGUUGUAAACGCCUUUCGCUAGGGACGAAGCUUUUUGUGACGGUACCUAGAGAAGAAGCACCGGCUAACUACGUG
rnacentral:rRNA from 1 species